CGAACGGCAGCCAUAUUUUAUUGUACGCUUGCACGCCGCGGUCGCCAGAGAAAUUUGGUGCCGCCAUUUUAGCUUCUUGUUAGUUGUUGUGUCCAAACAGUGAAACUUGUAAAUUAUUGAAUACAGUGCAGUAAAAUAUAAACCAAGAUGAGUUACGGAAGGCCGCCGCCGCGUAUAGACGGCAUGGUGUCGUUGAAAGUGGACAAUCUUACUUACCGUACAACGCCUGAAGAUCUGCGUCGUGUGUUCGAAAGAUGUGGUGAAGUUGGUGAUAUUUACAUACCCAGGGAUCGCUACACUAGAGAAAGCAGAGGAUUUGCUUUCGUCAGGUUCUACGACCGCCGCGACGCGGAAGAAGCCCUGGACUCUCUGGAUGGACGCAUGCUGGAUGGCAGGGAGCUUCGUGUACAGAUGGCUCGUUAUGGGCGGCCAUCAUCCCCAUACAGAAGCCGUUACGACCGUCGUCGCAGCAACUCGCGUUCACGGUCUCGUUCACGUCGUCGAUCCAGGUCUCGUUCCCGUUCCCGAAGGCGAUCGCGCUCGUACAGCCGUAGCCGCUCUCGCUCUCGCAGUCGUUCCGACUCGAAGAGCUCGCGAGGGCGGUCUCGCAGCCGCUCCCGCUCACGAUCUCGCUCCAGGCAUUGAACUGCUGAGUAGAGAGUACCAGCUGUGAGCUGAAGUGCUGUACUACAUGUCUCUCUGAGCAGCCUUCAGCCAAGGGCGUGGAGUACGCGGGGAGCGAGGCUGUAUGCGGGGAGGGGGGGUUUGCUGUUUGCUGACAACUGCUGAAUUGCUGUUGUUGCCGUACAUAAGUUAUGAGUAAACUUUUAUAUUUAUUGACGAGUCACGCAUAAAGUAGGUACUUGACGACUUGUACGUAACACCAAGAUAAUGUAUAUGAUUGGAGUUUUUAAUACACGGCACGUAGGACGAAUCGCGCACAUUACUAAACUAUUUCACUCAUUCAAUUUAUCAAAGUGCCAACUCGAAAGUUCUUCGAUUUGUCGCCUCUAGUAUCAGGGGUAUCAAUGUAACUGCGUCACGAACAACCACCAAAUUAGAACAAGUGCGCGUCGUAGGUGGCGGCCGACAGACCAGCAGACUGCGAACUAAUAUACUCGUUUGUUUGGCAGGCCGGUGCAGCACGCUGGCCUGUUUGCUGUGGCAGUAUCCUGUGCUGAUUUGCAGAUUCGCAUGCGGCUAGGUUUAUUGGUAAAAUGGAACGCCCUCCCUGCCUCUCCGGUUAACGAGCGAUCUAAGUACAUGAUGCGGUUAACUUUUUUCUUUUUAUUUAGCACUAGGAUCUCUCGGUAACAGAUACAAAGGAUUGAUUGUUUGUACCUUUACAUGAAGAUUACAGAAGAUCGUCAAAGAAGAAGACGCCGUGCACAGGAUUUAAGUAGGUUUUGUCGGAAAUAAACUAAUUUAAGGAAA